rnacentral:lncRNA from 1 species
CGGCUCUGGGGUAUGUAUCUGUAUCUGGUGAGUUGAGUCUCUUCUUCCUGAUGAUGUGAGAUGGUGAGUGGCAUCUCUCUCUGCUUCCUGAUCAUGUGAGAUGCAACCACUCUCUCUUGCCAUGAUGUCCUGCCUCACCUCGACCCCCAAGGAAUGGAGCCUGCUGUCGGUGGACUGAGACCUCUGAAGCCGUGAGCCCCCAGGCAACCUUUCCUCCUCCUUGGUUGUUCUGGUUGGACCCUGCGGUCAGCAGGAAACCCCGACGGACACACAUGCUGGGGAACAGGAAUACCUUAACCCUGAGCAGGCAGCAUGAACAUUAGUGCAAGCCCCGCCCUUCCUCUGCCAAGACCCUCUUCCCAGGGCCGUGCCUGAGUGCUUCGGGCAGACUCCUGCUGCAGCUGACUCCCCAUGUGGGCAGAGAAGUGCUGCCAGCUGCCAUGGCACCACCAACUGUGAGGCGCACACACAGGACCCCGAGGAGAUGGGGGAGGCUGCGCUUUCCCAAGUGUGGACUCACUGUUCUGCCAGUCCCAGUCCUCAGAGGACGACCGUAGGAGGGCAGAUUCCCAGGGGCCCUGGUCGCCCAGUCCCAAAUCCUCACACCUUAAGGAGCACACAGCCUCCUGAGAGGCGGCAGCCACCGAGCUCUGCCCCUCCAGAGGCUCCCAGAUUGUAAGCCCCCAGCUGUGGUGCCACCAAGGGCAUGCACAGACAGGCCCGGGGCCCCCAGGCAGGUCUCUGGGCAUAGGGGGACCUGCCGGCCCUGAGUCCCAGGCUGUGUCCUCUGCUUUGCUGGUGUGUGUGGUGCUGUUUCCCAACCACACCUGGGAGCCUUUGUUGUAUUGCCUUUGGGAGGGUCAGGUCCUUGGUCAGAGCCAAACUGUUGUUGCCUCCCACAGAGGCUAGCUGGGGUCACAUUCUACCAAACCUGUGAAACAAAGUACAUCCUGUCCUGAGGGUCCUGAGGCCACCAGCGCACCGGGAGCAUGCACUUCAGACUGGCUUCCCCAGGCUGUGGUUGCAGAAGAGGACAGCUGCAAGAUGGGCUGUUUCAAGGUGGGGAAAUAGGAGGGAGAAUAAGGAGUGUUCUCAGAGAGUGGGCUCAGGUCAACGGCUUCCCAGUCCACACUGAUCCAGGGCCCUUCCCCGCCCCACUGUAGAGAUGCACUUGGUCUGGAUGUUGUUGCCACUCCUGGGAUGCUAAACUGAGCAUAGCUGGUGAGCACCCCACUCUGUCCCACUGGGCGGAGCACCAGCUGACCUGAGGCGUGGACCCCACCCAGGGGCUAGGGUGAGGGCCAGUGGUUACAUGGAGCCCAGCACGUGUGCUUCCCAGCUAUCCUCAGGCUUGGUGACCUUCCAUGGCCCCAAUUCCUUGACCAAAGUGCAGUAGUGAGCAGGGUUGUCUGAGGAUCAUACAAGGAGGAGAAACCACGUGAGCUCCCAGUGUGGUGCAGGGCCCAGAGUAGCCACCUGCCCUGCUCAGUGCGUCCUGCCUAUGUCUAUGCCCGGUUUCCAGUCUCUGCAGCACCAGGCCUGGCACACGUACAGGGUAAAUAAAUGCAGCAGGGAGGGUUGGGGGUGUGGGUAGAACUAGGUGAUAUAGGCCUUAGAGUAAUGCACCCCAGCACCUGGAUAUGGCCAGAUUAAACAUGACAGUACAAGGCCAGCCCUGGUGCUCUACCAGGAAAAUUACCAGGGCUGCAGCUGGCAUUGGAAUUGCCUAGGGACAUUCUCCAGCAUCUGGUAGGGGCCUGUGUCCCCAGGGCAGUGUCCUCCUUCUCCUGAUGUCAACUUAUACACCAAGUCGUCCAAAGUGUGCACAAACCGAUUCUCACCUGUGCUCAGAAUCUUAAUAAAGAACAUGCCUCUCCAUGCAAUAAAAGUCAUUCCAAC